GUACUCUAUAAAAAAUAAUUUAGAAAGUUUUAGAUAUAACUGAGCAUCCCUACGUGGUCAUUUAAGAAAACAAAGUACUGUGUGUCAACUAAAACACAUUUCAAAACUAGGAUGGUUUUGGAAAUUAAUACAAAAUGGGAAAGUAAGGGCUGGAGAGAUGGCUUUCAUGGUUAAGGUUGCUCAGUACUCUCGAGGGGACCUGGGUUCAGUUUCUAGCACCCACGUGGCAGUGAUCACCAAUCUAUAACUCCAGGUCCAGGGGACCCAGCAUCCUCUUUUGGUCUCCACGAGUGCUGCUGGUACAUGGUACCCAGAUAGACAUGCAAGCACACACUCCUGUGUGCAGAAUUCAAAAGUAACUGAGUCUUUAAAAUGUGAGAAAAGCCUUAAAUACAAAGACUGUCUUUAAAGGCUGAUGCUCAACGAGAUUAGAGAGAGUUCAGUGAUAGAGGGUUCACUGGGCAUGCUCAGGCCCUGGGUUGCAGCCCUUGUACAGAAAAAGAAAAGAAAAUAGGUAAAGUGGUUUUACAUAUUUUAAAGGCUAGUUUAAUGUUGAGUUGAGAGAUACAAAUAUAUACUGAUGAUGUGGAGUCAUGUUCUAAAAUAUUAUUGUCAUCAGGAUGAAUCCAGGUAAUUAAUUUAUAUAUUAUUUGACAUGUUAAAAUAUAUUCUUGAAGCGAUUUUCUUUGUUUAGAGUAUGUAUUUAUUAGCUGUGAGGGUUACAUGCAUUUAUUUUGUUCAUAUUCAUCCUCCCCCACCACCUCCUCCCAGACUGACCUGCCCAUUCCUAACCCACACAAUGUUCUGUUCUCAUUUAACAAAACAGAACAUGGAGUUCUAUUAGUGUGCGGCCAUCUUGGGGUGUGAUCUCUGAGCAGUUUCCACUUGUACUAAGUAUUUGCUAUGGCCUCUGAGUUAUACAAGGCGCAGUUUUCUUGAACUUAUUCCUUCCGAUGAACCGACAUUUUUGUAUUCUCUUGACCAAUUAGAAUUCAAAGAACAAAAUGUGACUCCUUUAGCUCUACCCUGUUCUUCUAUGCUUAGGAUCUGUGAUUUCAGAUUGUGUGUUGCACUAGUGGGGAAUAAAUUAUAAAAUUGUAUUUACGAAGGCUAUCCAAGCAAAAUGAUUAAAAAAUAAAUUAGCAUACUUAAUGAGAAUCCUAAAUUUGCCAAGUCCAAGAAAAGUCUUUUCAGCAAUCUUGAGAAUGUUCUUACCAAAGCAUAGUGACUGCUCUUACUUAGACUCCCUAUUGCUUGGAAGCUGAAUUGUACCCUGUAUUCCACUGGGAAUAACCUGGAAUUUUUAAAUUUUUCUGUAUUUUUUUCUGGGUCUUUAUCUUGCUUUUUGUAGUGCAAAUACUACACAAGUGAUGUUUCUUCCCCCGUGAUGCUUUUAACCGAAGCAUGAGCAUUGGAAAAGGUUAUUAAAUGUUCUCCUCCAGCCAUUCUCCAAGGUCGUCCUAACAAGAGCCCGGUGUCUACAACUUAGCCACACUGGGAAAUCAGGUAAUGGAGUACAAGAAACCAACAGUGCGAUUUUCUUACUUAGCGUUAACUUUCAUAAAAAGAGAUUGGAAUUAUGUUCUAAGAUAUGUAAGCGUACAGGAAAAUGUGCCAAAGAUUAGGUGGUGCACUACUGAGUGCCCAAGUCUACUGGAAAAGUAAACAGACAUAAGCGUUUUAUUUGGAAAUAUUCUGGGACAUUUAAAAAUGCACACAUUUUAAUACACACUUGGCAGUUACAUAAUGUCUCUGUAUUCCUUAGCUACCCUGCUUCAGUGUGUGACCCAAACGGUUCCCAGUACCUGCAGUGAAGCCUCUGACCUCUAAGCACGUGGUUCUAAUCCGUGCACCUUCUGCCUUCGCACAUCUCUGCAGCUGUCAUUCGUAGGCACCAUCGGGUGUCAGAUGAAGACCCUCCGUGUACUUUGGCUAUGCUGUGUUCUUUUUUAUGCCUUCAUGCCUUCCCCUGAAAUGUGCCUGUCUGUCCUUCAUAACCGGUAUCGGGGCCCAUCCUCUCUGCGCUCUUGCUUUUCCUAGGAAUGUAAUCCUUUGCUCUUUUUUCGUGUGUCCCCCAUACUAAUCUGGCAAACUCUUUUGUUUUAAAACCUUAUGCUAGUAUCUACAUAAUCCUUUCUUCCUAGAUACAAUUACUUAAAAAAGAGUGAUAUAUUUGUUUUCUACAUGCUUGGCCAAUGCUUGGUGGAUGGAUAAAUGGAUGGAUGGAUGGAUGGAUGGGAAGAGUUAAGCAUGUAUAAUAGGCACCAAUAUUCCAACCUUUCUUAAUUUGUUUUUAACUCCCUUCCUUUGUAAAUACUUUUGUCAAACAUUAUUUGUGUAAUAAUGAGAUAUAGAAAAACACCCAAAUGUUGUUUUCCCACUGAUAGGCUUAUCAAGCAGCGAGGACAAGAGAUGAGUGUGUGAACACUAGGCAUACACUGCGCCUUAACAAACAGUGACUACCAUGCUCUAAGUUACAUGAGGCUACCGCACACUUUUUAUGAAUUGUCUUAUGAGCAGUUUUUCCCUUCAGUUAUUCUUAAAGAUCCUACAAAGGAAGGUUGUAUCUUAUAUUUUCUUUAAUCACUACUCUGUUAAGGUAUUUUUAAAGUGGUGAUUAAUUAAGCAGCUGCAGAUGAAAUUACGAUAUCAUCAUAGGAAUGUGGGGGCAAGAAAGCCCUCUGGAGUCAUCUGUUGCUAAACUGACCGUGAUGGUUUGUAUAUGCUUGGCCCAGGGAGUAAGUGGCACUGUGAGAGGCCAUGGAAGGCCAUUGGUGACGGUACAGCCUCAGUUGUAGUUGAUGGCCCAGGACUGAAGGGGUCAUGCAAAGGACUUGAGGUUUGGCACCAUGAAGAGAGCCUAUGAGAGGCUGUCGGUGAAAGACCACAUUGUACUGGAGAUGUGGAGUGGAUCAACCUGAGCUUAGAGUGCUAUAGAAGGCAGAGCUGGAGAAGUGACACCAGCCCUUUGAAGGAGCCCAGAAAGUCAUGUGUGGACCCCCAGACACUGGAACAAGAAGCUGUAACAUUGAAGCUGCCUUGGAGACUCCAAGAUGUUUGAGAUGCCAGAGCUGUGGGCUAUCUGCUGAGCAAAGCUGCUAACAGGGUGUGGAAACAGCCCAGGAGAAAGAAGUUUGUUGCAAUCAAGAAAAGACUGCUUGGACAUCAGUCAUGGAGAUGCAGAGUUUGGAGUUUGCACAGCUGGUUUCCUGUCUUGCUUUAGGAAUUACAGUAUGGCCUCCAUGGACUCCUAUGUUUCAACAAGCCUAUGGGGGCCAGGGAGUAGAGUAUGAUAGUUUGUAUAUGCUCGGUCCAGGGAGUGGUACUAUUAGAGGGUGUGGCCCUGUUGGAGUGGGUGUGGCUUUUUUGGAAUAGGUGUGUCACUGUGGGUGUGGGCUUUAAGACCUUCAUCCAAGCUGCCUGGAAGUGAAUAUUCUGCUAGCAGCCCGUAAAUGAAGAUGCAGAACUCUUAGCUCCUCCUGCACCAUGCCUGCCUGGAUGCUGCUGUGAUCCUGCCUUGAUGAUAAUGGACUGAACUUCUGAACCUCGCGCUCUGAAAGGCAAGAUAACUGCUGGAAAAAUCUACACAGAUUACUGGAAUGCAGAGCUGAGCCGUUCUUUAAGGAACUUGUUGAGGCAGACUUCAGACCCCAGCGAGGGCCUCGUGGGGACCUGCAGUAGGACCAACUGGGGACUCCAGAGUGGACACUUCAUCCCUCAGGAGGCACCGGAGAUAUGGUUCUGCCAUUAAGAGCACUGGCUGUUCUUCCAGAGGACCCAGGUUCAAUUCCCAGCACCUAUAAGGCAGCUCACAAGCAUCUAUAACACCAGUUCCAGGGGAUCUUGUGUCCUCUUCCAGUCUCCACGGACAUUGGGCACACGUGUGGUAAACAGGUAAGUAAUGCAGGCAAAACACAUGUACACAUACAAAAAAAUCAAAAACAAAAUUUUCUCAUGUUUGGUGGCUGUCAGUACCUGUAAUGGUGUGAUUAGUCACUAACACCACAGCCUUCCAGUCUCUUACUACUUUUUAUUUUAUGUGGAACUACACACUACGCAGCUCUGGGCUGUCAGUAAUGUAAUUGCCCACAGAGAUGCUAUCUUGGAGCUUUUUCCUAUUAAAUUUUGCUCUGGGUUAAACAAUCCAAUUUCAUUUUGUCCUACAAUAGUAAAUCUUAUUUUAGGCUUCAAAAAUUAUUUCAGGAUGAAAUAAAUAUUAGCAAGAGGAUGAACACCACCAAGUCACAUACAUCAAUAACAUGGAUGGCAAAAUUGUUGCAGAUAUGCUUGGGACAUUUUGAUAAAAUGGACAAGCUAACUUCCCCAGUGCUUUUUAUUCUAGCUUUUUAGUGUUGUAUUUAACAUUUAACAGAGGCAUGAUCAAGGUUUACUGAAUUAAAUUGUGAAGCACAGAAAGCUGGAAAUCAUGGGCUCUGGACCAUUGACAGGAGGUCUAGUCAGCCUCUCUUCAGACCUGUCACAGGCUUAACUCGGCCUCCACUUCAUGAAGAUUUUGAAAAUCUAAAAUGUCUCUGUAGAGUUAAGCAGGAGUCUGAAUCACAGGAGGAUGAGAAUGAGGUAAUGAUGCGAUGAGGAGGAGGAAGAGGAGGAGGAAGAGAAGGAUAAAAGCAUACAAAAUGAAGACAGUUACCAGGCUCUUAACUGCCUAUAUUGUGUCAUCCACUUUUCUCCGUUCCUGACAUUUUCUACCUUAAAGUUUCUACUCCAUUAGCUCAGCUUUAAAGAGCUAUUAAAAAAACAAAAGCAUCAUGCGGGACACACCAGGGCUGGCACGUGUAUAAACUUACAGAGGCUGUGACAACACACAUAUUACCUCCAGAGUCAAAGCAGAAAACAGUACUCGCCUUAAAGGGACUGAGACAUAGUUUGGUUUGGAGUCACUUUGAGUGACCAUGGCCCAGGGACACAGACUUAGGUCAUCCCAUAUCCCAUGUUCCCACGUUAGUUUUAGUUUAGUUUUACAGGACAAAGACAAUCAUGAAUCAAGACAUUUAGAAUACAUUUGGUGGGAAUACCAUUGAGGCAAUUACAGCAAGAUGGGGCAGGCUUUCCUACAGCCUGUCUCAUCCGACGACUUUCUUGGCUUUCAGGUUGGUUGAAGCCAGUAUCUGCCAACAGACUUUAGUUUUCUUCUUAAAAACUCUCUCAUGGGAUUUUAGCUCUGACACAAAGGUGAGUAAGGAAUGGCAGUUGUGGUAUGUAGGGGACUAAAACUAGCCCAAAACAACGUGAUUAAACUCUGGACCUGUAACAUUUACAAUUUUGCCACAGUACUAAAAUUCUAAUUAGUCCCUGCCACACAGCCCUCCCUACCCCCAUUCAGGAGUUUUCGUUCACAAUAGGUUCAAGCAGGAAAAAAAAAUCCCAAUACAAACUAGGGGUUAAAGAAUACAAAGUUCCGGGCUGGACAGAUGGCUCAGCAGUUAGGAGAACUAAAUGCUCUUCCAGAGGUCCUGAGUUCAUUUUCCAGCAACCACCUGGUGGCUCACAACCAUCUGUAAUGGGAUCCGAUGCCCUCUUCUGGUGUGUCUGAAAACAUUGACAGUAUAACUCACAUACAUAAAAUAAAUAAAAUCUUUAAAAAAAAAAAUACCAAGUUCCAUUCCUAACCAAGAGGUAUUUACUACUGAUAAUACUGGGAACGGUAAAAUCGAUUUUCCCCAAUGGAGUAUCAACCACAUUUCAGGGAAGGCCCGUGCCCAGAAGUAAUUGGCCAACAAAAUUGAUCAACACAAAAUGGUGUGUGUGUGUGUGUGUGUGUGUGUUUUGUUACGUUUUUAUGUUUGACUUUAUUUAAAUCUUUGGCAAGGACCUCUGGAAUUCCUAAAAGCAUUUACCAAAAGCUGAGGACAUUUCUGGGAAACUCGAGAGCUUUGGGAAACUGUCUUUUAGUCUAAAGUGUGUGUGUGUGUGUGUGUGUGUGUGUGUACACUAAUACUGUUUAUACAUUCUGCAAUGUAAGUUCAUACUUCUCAUGAUACAUCUAAAACCAAAACAAAGCCCAUGUACUAGGGCGAAGUACUGUCCAUCUACUUAAAAAUGUGUUUUAAUCAGCCAGCCAACGUGGGAAAGGGGCGGGAUUUUCCUCGGGCAGCUUUCUCAACAAACUGGUGCAAAGCCACACCACGGAAUGCAGAAUGCCAACAUCCUAACAAAAAAAAUAGAGAGUAACACUCAAAUUAAGUGCUUUAAAAGCCCAUGAUAUAUGCUUCCCCAAAUCCUUAGAUCCUAUUAGCUGUCACGAAGAGCCAGAAGGUAACGAGAGACAAGGACGAUCAGAUCAGGCCCAGCGCAGACACUAGCUGAGAUGAACUCAAAGGGAUUAAUGGCGAGAAAGACUACCUUGUACAUCGCUAACUUUCCAGAGAUUUCCAGAAACGGAAUUUACAGCCAGAAACCAACUCCUGCGGGUGGGAAGCAACAAAACAAACAAAACCCUGCUAAGACAUCACUUUCAUUUUCGCCUGUAGACCCCUGCGAACGAUCAAAGAUGGAGAAAUGAGCAGUCCUCAAGCAACAACGCCCUCCUAAUGCGCAAGCGCGCCCGGAGGCCCCGCCCCUCGCGGUCACCCCAAGACCAGGCGCGCGCAUCGGAAGUCAGAACCUCCAAGGCUCCUCCUUGCUCUUCCUCCACAAGGCCCCGCGUUCGCAGUCCGGUUCCGGUUGUAGCUCCGCCCUCGCGCGGGAACACGCCAGAAGGCUGGAUAUCCGGGACGGGAGGCUAGCUGAGCGCUCACUUCCGGUGGCAGCUCGUCCCAUCUCCCUUGAGGGGCAGGCUCUGGCUCUCGGUGCGGUAGCGCCAUCUGGCGCCGAGUGUUCCUCAGCCCGCGGAGGGGCGUGCUUCCUCCCUUCAGAACAUUCCAGAGACUCCUCGGCUCUGCACUGGUUUCCCUACUUGUGCAUGCAUUUGAAUUCAGAAGACUUUGAAGAGUCCGGUUCACUACAGUUUAGGACUGGGAGAGGUGAUGUGGAAGGAGAGCUGGGUGAUUAAGGCCCACAGUUGGAAUCGUUUAGAAUUCAAGAUUGCUUUGUUGAGAGCGCUGUUUGCUGGUUUUGCAGUAUUGACACUGAAACCCGACAGGUUAGUAGCCUUUCCGGCCAGUGCAAUGGGAGUAAACGAAGCGCUAAAUCCAUGUCUUUUGUACAGUCACACAUUAGGAAAACACGUUCAUAUAAGUAGACUCUGUCGUAGAGGGUGCUGUAACACCAGGUAUACUAAAUUUCUUAAUUACGAUGCCAUUUCUGUCUUCAAAGUUUCUUGAAAAUCGGUAACUCAAAAAAGGACAAAAAUCACUUCAACAGACAUUUAACCUCCUGGAAGAUAAUCUUUUAAAAAUCCCUUUCCUUUUGUAACUUCUUUGUAGUUCAUUCUUUUCACUGAGUCAUUGCCCCUUACCCCUACUAUGUAAUUUAAAAUCUUCACGCUGCUUUCGGUUUUUUUUUGUUUGUUUGGUUGGUUUUUUUUUGUUUUGUUUUGUUUUUUAAGAGCAAGCUUCCUGAAGCCUUUGUAUUCUGAGUUUGACAGUGGCAUUUGACCCUAAGCUAUCGGUAAAUGCCUUACUCUCGGUAACCCUUCCUUUUGUACCCAAUAGAAAUACAGCUGUUCAUAGAUAGGCUUGCCGUGUUCGUAGCUAAAGUUAUUCCUAAAAGUAAUUUUUUAAUACUAAAAAGUUAAGUUGUUUACUGAAGUUGUGAGUGAUUACUAUAAAGAUUAUAUUGCCUUUAAUUACAAGAUAGUGUAUCUAACUGUGAAGAUAAGUGAAAUGGUAUUUUUAUAAUGACUCAGUAAGACUUCCAUUACCAGGCACUAGUGAGAUGGCUCGGGGGUUAAGUCUGGCUCCAGGCAUGCACACGGUACACAGACAUACAUAAAAUAAUAAUACACAUAAACUGCGUAUACAAAAAUAAUAAUAAAUAAAAUAGGAUAUUCUAACUCCAUUGUUUUUAGUGAUUAAACAUGAGAAAAUUCCAAAUCAGAGAUCCCUCCCCGCCUUCCUCCCUCUCCCUCCUUUUUAAUCCUUCUCUCUCUUCUUCCUCACUAACCUGAAUGAGUUUCCAUUUAAAGGGACAUAGGGAGGUAGCAGGGUGCCUUCAAAUAACUGUUAACAAGUAUUUAUACUAAUGAGACAAAAGCACACAUCCUCCUCUUCAUUUUAAACCAGCCUUGUAGUAAAAAAGGAACCCGUGUGUGUUCAUUACUUGCUCCUAUGUGCACACGUGUGUGUCACUUGCUGUGUUUAAAGAGCUUAAUACAUUUGCUGGCUGGUACUUCUCUACGAUGGCUGCGCCAUUGCCAUUUAUCCAGAGUAAUUUUGUCAAUAGGCAUUACAUGAAAUGAUGUUGAAAUUUACUUUCAAUAUUGUUUGGUAAUACUUGACACAAAAAAUCAGGGCUUCUUCAUCAGGCUUUUUUUGAACUGAAAUUUCUAGGCUAGGUCAGGUGGAGCACAUCUGCAGUCUGAGCCCUCAGGAGAUGCAGGGGAUCCAGUUUCCAAAAGCAGUUUUAAAAAGUAAUUUCUAUUACUAAUUUCUUUGUGGUUCCAUUUUCUUUAGUUCAUGCUUCUUAAAUUUUCUGAUAUAUAAAUGAAUGUGUAAUGAAUAUCUGUACAAAAAAGCAUUUUUUAAAGGAAAAAAAAGAGAAAAGCAUAUUCACGAAUGUUUUAAUGAUUCUUUGCUACAGUCAGUGUGCUGUGUAGCUGUUUAAAUUUUCCUUUUCGGGGCAAUGCCUGCAUUUGUGCGUGACUCACAGCAUGCACCAACUUUUUUCCCUGAAAUUCUCAUCAUUUUUCUUGUUACUUCCAGUGGACUCUGCAGACUUCACACUGUCUAAUAAUGUGUUCUCAGACUCUCUAGUCUUUUGUCUUGGUCCAUUUUAAAAUCUCAUCGAAGUUGUCGUUUCAAGCUGGUUUUUGGAAAUAAAUUAGAAUUAAUACUGCUGAGUUCAUCUUAAUGGCUCAUAUUCCCCUGUGGUGAAUUAAAUUUAUUGUUGCGUUUUCAGAAUGAUUUUUCUUACUCAUGAUCAGUAGGAGACCAUACGCUGAGUUACCUGAUCUAAUUGGGCUUAGGAGUAAAGUACAGCCUUUUUAGGGGGAGGUGUGGAGGCCAGCCUUGAACCUGUGAUUCUGCUGUCUCAGCCUCUUGAAUGCUGGGAUUCCAGGCCUGUGCCCACAAAGUGAGAACACUGAGGCAGAUGGUACAGUUUUCUGUUUGGUGAUUAUUACAUUUUAAGAUUUCCAAACUUUAUAUGGAAAAAUUAUCACAUGUAUUUUAUAAAGUAUUAAACUGUAUCCCUCUGCUAGAUUCAGCAGUGGCACAUGCAAGGCUGCCAUAGUCUAAUUCCCAGAGCUGUGACAAACAUCAUAACAGAAGCAGCUUGGGGAGGAGAGGGUCUAUUUUAUCUCACACUUCUCUGUCGCUCCUUGAACCAUCAUUAGACCCAUGCAUGUGUAGGUAACAGUUAACCACAUUAAACUCCACAGGAGCCCAGGAGAUGACUCAGUGGUUAAUUCACAAGGACUGGAGCUUGGAUCCUCAGGCCCCGCAUAGAGGCUGUGGGCGUGGUGACCCACCUGCAGUUCUAGCCUGGGAAGGUGAAGAACGGACCUCAAAACAAGUUGUCUAGGGAGUCCAGCCAUUCAGUGAACUCUGUCUUGGACUGAGAGAUCUGCCUUACUGAACAAGGAAGAAGAAUGAAGAGUACACCCACAUACACACUCACACAUGUGCUUACACACAGAUAGAUGUGUGUAUGCACACAUGCAAAGUACACAUAAUAAAAAUGGGAAAAUACACAGUUCAUCUCUUACAGAUGGGCAAUCAGAGUAGAGUGAAAAAUUACCCAUCAUGGAGGGCCAAUGAAUAAACGACCACAGAUAGAAACUUAAUGGGGACCCUGAAAGAAGAGAGAGAGAAGUAGGACUUUGAAGACAUGAUGAUCAUUAAAACUUCUGGAGCAUAUACUAAAUCUGUUUCUACAUCUUUGGCCUUAACCAAUGAGAAGAGAAUCACACUCACUCUAGCAGGGGCAGUGUGAAGUGUAAGGAAACCUUUGCAACAUCUGUGAGUUACGUUACAGCGUUAAAGCCAGAGAUAAGCCAUCAACUUGCUUCUGCUAACAGCAAUGCUUACGAGAUAUAAUGGCCUUCAGAUUCCUUCACAGCAUUAGUGAAAUUCUGUGGGAAAUCAUGAGAAAUUGUUUCAAAUUGUCAAAAACCACUCCAAAUUUAGCAGUACUUUAAAUAUCCAAAACAUCAAUGUUUUGAGGAGAAAGGGAAUAAAUUUUCUAUAAGCUGUAUUAGACAUUGAACCAUACAAUAUUUUGCUUUGUUUCCUUUGAGAAAAUGUCUUACUGUUGUAGCCCAGGCUGGCCCAAGCUCCAGAGUCUUCUGCCUCUACCUAGAGAAUGCUGAUAUGGUAGAUUUACAUCCAUCAUCUUCUGGCUUGGAACUUUACUGUCCUAAAACGUUUUAAUUAGCCAUUAAAUGCACGUUGUUUUUUGUGGUACAA